UCUGUGGGUUUGAGUUGUUAUGUGCCUUGUUUAGAGAGAAGGGAAGAGAUGAGAAUGAAGAGAGAGAGUGGUGGAAGCUUAAGGGGUGAUGUGGUGUGAAAAGAGAAAAGUCAAGAGUGAAUUGAAUUUGAAAUGAAUGAACGAAAAGAGAGAUGAACGGGGUUCCUUAUUAUUUUAUUGCAAGAAAUAGUAUGAAUUACUAAAAGGUG
rnacentral:lncRNA from 1 species